UCUAAUGCAUAAUAUGCGAGUUACCCUAGC
rnacentral:piRNA from 1 species